rnacentral:rRNA from 1 species
AGAUUGAACGCUGGCGGCAGGCCUAACACAUGCAAGUCGAGCGGCAGCACGGGUACUUGUACCUGGUGGCGAGCGGCGGACGGGUGAGUAAUGCCUAGGAAUCUGCCUGGUAGUGGGGGAUAACGCUCGGGAAACGGACGCUAAUACCGCAUACGUCCUACGGGAGAAAGCAGGGGACCUUCGGGCCUUGCGCUAUCAGAUGAGCCUAGGUCGGAUUAGCUAGUUGGUGAGGUAAUGGCUCACCAAGGCGACGAUCCGUAACUGGUCUGAGAGGAUGAUCGAGUCAACACGUAGGAACUGAGACACGGUCCAGACCUCCGUACGGGAGGCAGCGAGGUGGGAAUAGUUAGGACAAGUGGGACGAAAGCUAGAC